rnacentral:lncRNA from 1 species
CAAAAUUAUAGGAAUGGAGUGUGUGUUGUGCGUGUGCGCGUGUGUGUAUGUGUAUUUGUAGAGGAUAGAGUUUUUAAAAUUUAUUUUGAGACAAGUUCUUGCUAAAUUGCUAAGUUGCCCAAGUGGAACUUGGAUUUACAAUACUUUUUCCUUAGCCUUCCAGAGUGCUGGGAUUGCAAGCUUGCACCACCAUGCAAAAUGAGUUAUUACUUCAGAAUUCAGCUCAAUUCAAGUUGCUAAGUAGGGAACCAUUCUUGAUACUCUUCUAGCAUCAUUUUCCUCUGCUUUUUUCCUCACACUACUCCCUGGGCUUGUUUAGUUGAACUUGUCUUCUCCAAGAGCUCCUUGGAGGCAGACCUUUUGUAUAUAUAUAUUUUUAACACUUUUUUUUUUAUACCAGGGAUUGAACUUGGGACCUUGAGCUUGUGAGGCACAUGGCGGAACCACUAGGUCAAAUCCCCGGCAAAGUAGACUUUUUAUUACCCAGCUGCCACUCCUGUGUCCUUCCCUUGGAACCCUGGGACAUGUACGAUGUGAAAAGAGCAAUUCAUCUCCCACACAACUCUUGUCUGAAGCCUGUGGAACUGUACCCAACUGUCUCCCUCGUUUCUUGUUACUUAUGUUUCAUCAGUUCCAGCGUGCUUCAUGCUGCUGCUUCAUGAACUUUCCAGAAGUUGUCAAAGAAAGGCGAUUACAUCAUGGGUUGGAGCUGUACAGAUACUGCGUCAGGCCCAGGAAAUGGUAAUUGAUGAAACUUUUCCAUCUUGGGAGGAGAGACAGUAAAUAGUCUGUUGCUUC